rnacentral:other from 2 species
UAAGCCCUGAGGUGUUGGCCAGUUGACAAUGUCCUGAGCCGAUACUUUUACCCUGGAGGUUUCCAGCGGAUGUUGGUGUGCAAGUCCGCCAUGCAGCGGAAAGCCUUAUGCAUUCCGGAGACCACCACCUUGAACUUAACGGUUCAAGGCUACGUCAUCAGCCGCACGCUCGGGGUGUCC